rnacentral:snRNA from 1 species
CCCAAGGCUCGCUUCGGCGGGUC